AGCGAACGCUGGCGGCAUGCUUAACACAUGCAAGUCGCACGGAGGGUUUCGGCCCUUAGUGGCGGACGGGUGAGUAUCGCGUAGGGAUUUAUCGUUGGGGUGGGGGAGUAACCUUCGGGAAACGUAGGGGCGUAAUAACCGCAUGACGCCUGAGGGCCGAAAGUUAGUAAUGGCGCCUGACGAGAAGCCUGCGUCCGAUUAGGUAGUUGGUUGGGUCGAUGGCUGACCAAGCCUGCGAUCGGAGCUGGUCUGAGAGGAUGAUCAGCCACACUGGGACUGAGAC
rnacentral:rRNA from 1 species